rnacentral:rRNA from 1 species
GGAGUUAGCCGGUGCUUCUUCUGUGAGUGAUGUCCUUCCUGCCGGUUAUUGACCCGCAGGCCUUCUUCCUCACUGAAAGUGCUUUACAACCCGAAGGCCUUCUUCACACACGCGGCAUGGCUGGAUCAGGGUUGCCCCCAUUGUCCAAUAUUCCCCACUGCUGCCUCCCGUAGGAGUCUGGGCCGUGUCUCAGUCCCAGUGUGGCUGAUCAUCCUCUCAGACCAGCUACGGAUCGUCGCCUUGGUGAGCCGUUACCUCACCAACCAGCUAAUCCGACAUAGGCUCAUCCGAUAGCGCGAGGCCCGAAGGUCCCCCGCUUUCCCCCGUAGGGCGUAUGCGGUAUUAGCCUGGGUUUCCCCAGGUUAUCCCCCACUACCGGGCAGAUUCCUAUGCAUUACUCACCCGUCCGCCGCUCGCCACCAGGGAGCAAGCUCCCCGUGCUGCCGCUCGACUUGCAUGUGUUAGGCCUGCCGCCAGCGUUCAAUCUGAACCAGAUCAAACUCUGA